UACGAAGGGGGCUGGCGUUGCUCGGAAUCACUGGGCGUAAAGCGCACGUAGGCGGACUCUUAAGUCGGUGGUGAAAUCCUGGAGCUCAACUCCAGAACUGCCUUCGAUACUGAGAGUCUCGAGUCCGAGAGAGGUGAGUGGAACUGCGAGUGUAGAGGUGAAAUUCGUAAAUAUUCGCAAGAACACCAGUGGCGAAGGCGGCUCACUGGCUCGGUACUGACGCUGAGGUGCGAAAGCGUGGGGAGCAAACAGG
rnacentral:rRNA from 1 species